GAUGAACGCUGGCGGCGUGCCUAAUACAUGCAAGUCGAGCGAACGGACGAGAAGCUUGCUUCUCUGAUGUUAGCGGUGGACGGGUGAGUAACACGUGGAUAACCUACCUAUAAGACUGGGAUAACUUCGGGAAACCGGAGCUAAUACCGGAUAAUAUUUUGAACCGCAUGGUUCAAAAGUGAAAGACGGUCUUGCUGUCACUUAUAGAUGGAUCCGCGCUGCAUUAGCUAGUUGGUAAGGUAACGGCUUACCAAGGCAACGAUGCAUAGCCGACCUGAGAGGGUGAUCGGCCACACUGGAACUGAGACACGGUCCAGACUCCUACGGGAGGCAGCAGUAGGGAAUCUUCCGCAAAGGGCGAAAGCCUGACGGAGCAACGCCGCGUGAGUGAUGAAGGUCUUCGGAUCGUAAAACUCUGUUAUUAGGGAAGAACAUAUGUGUAAGUAACUGUGCACAUCUUGACGGUACCUAAUCAGAAAGCCACGGCUAACUACGUG
rnacentral:rRNA from 1 species